rnacentral:rRNA from 1 species
AGGGUUUGAUUAUGGCUCAGGAUGAACGCUAGCUACAGGCUUAACACAUGCAAGUCGAGGGGCAGCAUCAUCAAAGCUUGCUUUGAUGGAUGGCAACCGGCGCACGGGUGAGUAACACGUAUCCAACCUGCCGACAACACUGGGAUAGCCUUUCGAAAGAAAGGUUAAUACCUGAUGGUAUGAUGAGAUUGCAUGAUAGCAUCAUUAAAGAUUUAUCGGUGUACGAUGGGGAUGCGUUCCAUUAGGUAGUAGGCGGGGUAACGGCCCACCUAGCCAACGAUGGAUAGGGGUUCUGAGAGGAAGGUCCCCCACAUUGGAACUGAGACACGGUCCAA